UGUUCUCAUAUCUAUGUUAUUAGGCAUAUAAUUUAUGAUUAACUCUAUUCUAUGUAUAUUGUUGCUUUCAUAUUAUUUUUCCACCAAGUUUGUUCUUUUGUUGCUAAGCUUUUACUGAGCAUAACAAACAGUAACUCCAUUGCUGCUCUCUCUCAACAGAUUUUCCGAGGCUGUUGUCGUCUUCCAAACAGAACUCAGAAUCUGAUUCGUCCUCUCACUCACUCUCAGCUCCGCCUUCGGAUUUGGUAAUUCAGGAUGCAGGCGUCAUCGCAUUUAGUCAGAGGGAAUUUCGGCAUUGAGAUUUCAAAACGGAGAGUAUUCCCUUGCUUUGGUGAAGUUAGGCAACGGAGUUUAACUUUGAAUCGCAAUUUUUGCAUCCGAAGUGGUUCCACCUGCAGCGGUUUAAGAUCAGGUGACGUUUCGAUGGGAGCAGGACUUGUACGUGCCAAAAAUGGUAUCGAAACUGCCGUUCGCUCUUCGGUCAAAUCUCGAUCGAUCAAAGCUCAAGCCUCUGGUCUCUUUCUCUUUCUCGUUUUCGUUUUCCUUUCACUUUUAAGCUGUGUGUCGUGGUUGAAUCUGUUUAUUGAAUUUAUGUUGAAUUUUUAGGUGAGGAAAAUUGCUUAAUGAAAGAAUUGCAUGUUAGUGAAA